CACGUAGGGGCCAAGCGUUGUCCGGAUUUAUUAGGCGUAAAGAGCUCGUAGGCGGUUGGGUAAGUCGGGUGUGAAAACUCCAGGCUCAACUUGGAGAUGCCACCCGAUACUGCUCUGACUUGAGUUCGGUAGGGGAGUGGGGAAUUCCUGGUGUAGCGGUGAAAUGCGCAGAUAUCAGGAGGAACACCGGUGGCGAAGGCGCCACUCUGGGCCGAAACUGACGCUGAGGAGCGAAAGCGUGGGUAGCAAACAGG
rnacentral:rRNA from 1 species